CGAACGGGUGAGUAAUGCGUGACCAACCUGCCCCAUGCUCCAGAAUAGCUCUUGGAAACGGGUGGUAAUGCUGGAUGCUCCAACUUGACGCAUGUCUUGUUGGGAAAGUGUUUAGUGGCAUGGGAUGGGGUCGCGUCCUAUCAGCUUGUAGGCGGGGUAAUGGCCCACCUAUGCUUCGACGGGUAGCCGGCCUGAGAGGGCGGACGGCCACAUUGGGACUGAGAUACGGCCCAGACUCCUACGGGAGGCAGAGGU
rnacentral:rRNA from 1 species